rnacentral:rRNA from 1 species
GACGAACGCUGGCGGCGUGCUUAACACAUGCAAGUCGAACGGAAAGGCCCUGCUUUUGUGGGGUGCUCGAGUGGCGAACGGGUGAGUAACACGUGAGUAACCUGCCCUUGACUUUGGGAUAACUUCAGGAAACUGGGGCUAAUACCGGAUAGGAGCUCCUGCUGCAUGGUGGGGGUUGGAAAGUUUCGGCGGUUGGGGUUGGACUCGCGGCUUAUCAGCUUGUUGGUGGGGUAGUGGCUUACCAAGGCUUUGACGGGUAGCCGGCCUGAGAGGGUGACCGGCCACAGUGGGACUGAGAUACGGCCCAGACUCCUACGGGAGGCAGCAGUGGGGAAUAUUGCACAAUGGGCGGAAGCCUGAUGCAGCAACGCCGCGUGCGGGAUGACGGCCUUCGGGUUGUAAACCGCUUUCGCCUGUGACGAAGCGUGAGUGACGGUAAUGGGUAAAGAAGCACCGGCUAACUACGUG